rnacentral:rRNA from 1 species
AGAGUUUGAUCAUGGCUCAGAACUAACGCUGGCGGCGCGUCUAAAACAUGCAUGUCGAACGAGAAAGCCUUCGGGUGAGUAAAGUGGCAAAUGGGUGAGUAAUAUAUAGAUAAUCUGCCGUAUGGAUGGGGACAACCCCGAGAAAUCGGAGCUAAUACCGAAUGAUAUCCCGGGUGCCAAGUACUUGGGAUUAAAGGUGCGUUUGCAUCGCCAUACGAUGAGUCUAUACACUAUUAGCUUGUUGGUAGGGUAAAGGCCUACCAAGGCUACGAUGGUUAGUCGGCCUGAGAGGGUGAUCGACCACAUUGGGACUGAGACACGGCCCAGACUCCUACGGGAGGCAGCAGUUAAGGAUCUUCCGCAAUGGACGAAAGUCUGACGGAGCGACGCCGCGUGUACGAUGAAGGCCUUUUAGGUUGUAAAGUACUUUCGAUUGGGAAGAAAUGAUCGGGUAGGAAAUGGCCCGAUUUUGACGGUACCUAAAGAAGAAGCCCCGGCUAAUUACGUGCCAGCAGCCGCGGUAAUACGUAGGGGGCAAGCGUUGUUCGGAUUUACUGGGCGUAAAGGGUGCGUAGGCGGGACAGCAAGUUAGAUUUGAAAUCUUGUGGCUCAACCAUAAAAUUGGAUCUAAAACUGCUGUUCUUGAGUAUGGGAGAGGAGAACGGAAUUUCUAGUGUAGGGGGUGAGAUCUGUAGAUAUUAGAAAGAACACCGGUGGCGUANGCGGUUCUCAAGCCUGAUACUGACGCUGANGCACGAAAGCCAGGGGAGCGAACGGGAUUAGAUACCCCGGUAGUCCUGGC